CAUGCUUUAGCUUAAACUUAAUUCAUGUUCAACACAUCAACAUAUAGUAGCAUGCUUGAUAUCCCCCAAUUACUAUCAUAUAAUCUCAUUUUACAACUCAAAGAGUACAAUUACACAAGCAUCAAACAUGUAGCUAUCUUAUAUCAAGAAUUCCCAAAUCCAUUGAAACUAAACUAUUAGAAAAUCAUGAUUUCUUGCAAAUAAAAACUCAA
rnacentral:lncRNA from 1 species